AGUGAACGCUGGCGGUAGGCCUAACACAUGCAAGUCGAACGGCAGCACAGUAAGAGCUUGCUCUUACGGGUGGCGAGUGGCGGACGGGUGAGGAAUACAUCGGAAUCUACUUUUUCGUGGGGGAUAACGUAGGGAAACUUACGCUAAUACAGCAUACGACCUACGGGUGAAAGCAGGGGAUCUUCGGACCUUGCGCGAUUGAAUGAGCCGAUGUAGGAUUAGCUAGUUGGCGGGGUAAAGGCCCACCAAGGCGACGAUCCGUAGCUGGUCUGAGAGGAUGAUCAGCCACACUGGAACUGAGACACGUUCCAGACUCCUACGGGAGGCAGCGGUGGGGAAUAUUGGACAAUGGGCGCAAGCCUGAUCCAGCCAUACCGCGUGGGUGAAGAAGGCCUUCGGGUUGUAAAGCCCUUUUGUUGUUAAAGAAAAGCAGCAGGUUAAUACCCCGCUGUUCUGACGGUACCCAAAGAAUAAGCACCGGAUAACUUCGUG
rnacentral:rRNA from 1 species